UGUGUAUUUAGCAGUCUGUGUGUGUGUAUUUAGCAGACUGUGUAUUCAGCAGUCUGCUAAAUACACAUACAGACAGACUGCCGAGCAC